rnacentral:tRNA from 1 species
GCCUGGGUGGCUCAGUCGGUUGAGCGUCUGACUUCGGCUCAGGUCAUGAUCUCACGGUCUGUGGGUUCGAGCCCUGCUUCGGGCU